GAUGAAGACGCAGCGAAAUGCGAUACGUAAUGUGAAUUGCAGAAUUCAGUGAAUCAUCGAAUCUUUGAACGCAUAUUGCGCUCUCUGGUAUUCCGGAGAGCAUGCUUGUUUGAGUAUCAGUAAACACCUCAACUCCCCUUUCUUUUUUUGAAAUGGGAGCUGGACUUGAGUGAUCCCAACGCUUUUCUCACCGAAAAGUGGCGGGUUACUUGAAAUGCAGGUGCAGCUGGACUUUUCUCUGAGCUAAAAGCAUAUCUAUUUAGUCUGCCUAAAAAACAGAUUAUUACCUUUGCUGCAGCUAACAUAAAGGAGAUUAGUUCUUGUGCUGACUGAUGCAGGAUUCACAGAGACAGCUUCGGCUGGCCUUUGUAAACUCGAUCUCAAAUCAAGUAAGACUACCCGCUGAACUUAAGCAUAUCAAUAAGCGGAGGA
rnacentral:misc_RNA from 1 species